CUCAGGUAUAAUUCCUCCUUUCCUCCCCUCCCCAGUUCGCUUUCAGACCUGGACACCAGGUCUGCCCUUUCUUCCAGAGCUAAUUCAAGUCCAAACAGGGCCCUGAAUCCAGCUUCUAAAAAAAUUAAAAUUAAAUUAAAUUAAAUUAAAAACAGUCUUCCAGUUUUGACUACUUUCUCGGAAAACGACUUCUGGUUUUUAGACGGUGCAAAUAGCUGGAUGUCUCGUCCUGAAGAACUCAAUGGGGAUGUUCUAAGGUGAGAAGAAAAAGCAAAGAAUGGAAUUGGGAAGGUUGCAUUGAACAAGGAACCCAACCCAUCUCCAUGGACACCUGGAUCAGGGAAGAGGAGGCACCUCUCUUCAAAGGACUGCCCCCCUUACCUAAAGCGUUUUGGGGGGCUCAUCUGUCUCAAGAAUCUCCACCUGAGAUGGCAGAGCAGGACGGGACCAAACCACUAGAGGGGGAGCACAUCAGCCUUCAUGGAAAAAUAUCCUGGCUGCAGAGAGAAAUGCUGCGUCUACGAAGGAGUGACCUGGGCCUUUUUCGUCAGCUUUACUUCCUUGCCCUGGAAAUUCAGGAUCUCAGUGAGUUACAUCAGGAGAUGGUGACCUUCUCAAAGGAGCAGCUGGCAGGAGAAGAAGACCCCAACCAUGCUGGAGACAGGAAAGCAACGGGACAGAGCCAGCGUGAAGCUUUUGAACUAACCAUCUGAAAGUCUCCAAAGUGCUUUUGGAAGAGGCAACUGGGCUUUCUUGUUUUCCUUCGAAGAUGUGUCGCUUCUCAUCCGCUGAAGCAGCUUCUGAGACCAGAAGCGAAACGCCUUUAAAGAAAAAACAAGGAAAUAAGUCCAGUUGCCUCUUGAGGAAAAGCACUUUUGGGGCAACCAAGACCUUGAAGGACUGAGAAUCUCCAUCGACAUUUAAUCCUCUGGAAAAGGCAGCUGCCUCUUUGAACUCGCUGGGCAAAAGGCGACUCCAAGUGAUCCACAGGCAGUCCUGGACUUACAACAGUACGUUUAGUGACCAUUCAAUGUUACAACGGCACUGAAAAAAGUGAGCUUAUGACAAUUAACCAGUUAACCAAUUAA